rnacentral:sRNA from 1 species
GCUGGGCGUGGCGGCGCACGCCUGUAAUCCCAGCUACUUGGGAGGCUGAGGCAGGAGAAUUGCUUGAACCCGGGAGACUGAGGCUGCAGUGAGCUGAGAUCUCACCAUUGCACUCCAGCCUGGGUGACAGAGUGAGACUCCAUCUCGA